UCGGGCCUCAUAAACUCUGAGACGUGAUACCGAGCCGCUUCAGGCGAAGUCAUUGAUCCUAUGCUGCCUUGAAAAGCCCAGCAGCGAGUUGACAUGGUGCCCGUACCCCAAACCAACACAGGUGGACAGGUAGAGCAUACCAAGGCGAGUGGGAUAACUAUGGUUAAGGAACUCGGCAAAUUGCCUCCGUAACUUCGGGAGAAGGAGGACCCCAGUAGCGUGAUGAGACUUGCUCCCUGAGCGUGAAGGGGUGGCACAAAAUUGAGGGAAGCGACUGUUUACCAAAAACACAGCAGCGUGCUAAGCCGUAAGGCGCUGUAUACGCUGUGACUCCUGCCCGGUGCUGGAAGGUUACGGGGAUGGGUUAGUCCUUCGGGACGAAGCUCUGAACCUAAGCCCCAGUAAACGGCGGCCGUAACUAUAACGGUCCUAAGGUAGCGAAAUUCCUUGUCGGGUAAGUUCCGACCUGCACGAAUGGAGUAACGACUUCCCUACUGUCUCAACCAUAGACCCAGCGAAAUUGAAGUACGAGUAAAGAUGCUCGUUAGCUGCAGAAGGACGGAAAGACCCCGUGGACCUUUACUAUAACUUGAUGUUGUGUUUUGUCAUAUGUUGUGUAGGAUAGGUGGGAGACUUGGAAGCAUGGACGCUAGUCUGUGUGGAGUCAUCGUUGAAAUACCACCCUGCAUAUGGUGAGGCUCUAACCUAGACCCGUUAUCCGGGUUGGGGACAGCGUCAGGCGGGUAGUUUAACUGGGGCGGUUGCCUCCUAAAGAGUAACGGAGGCGCCCAAAGGUUCCCUCAGCCUGGUUGGCAAUCAGGCGUUGAGUGCAAUGGCAAAAGGGAGCUUGACUGCGAGACCUACAAGUCGAGCAGGAGCGAAAGCUGGGCAUAGUGAUCCGGCGGUUGCGUGUGGAAGCGCCGUCGCUCAACGGAUAAAAGGUACCCCGGGGAUAACAGGCUAAUCUUGCCCAAGCGUCCAUAGCGACGGCAAGGUUUGGCACCUCGAUGUCGGCUCAUCGCAUCCUGGGGCUGAAGCAGGUCCCAAGGGUUGGGCUGUUCGCCCAUUAAAGCGGUACGCGAGCUGGGUUCAGAACGUCGUGAGACGGUUCGGUCCCUAUCCUCUGCAGCCGGAGGUGAAUUGAGGAAAGCUGUCCCUAGUACGAGAGGACCGGGACGGACGCAGCUCUCGUGUGCCAGUUGUCCUGCCAAGGGCAUGGCUGGUUAGCGACCUGCGGAAAGGAUAACCGCUGAAAGCAUCUAAGCGGGAAGCCUCUUCCAAGAUGAAUUCACCCACAGGGUUAACCUGGUAAGGCCCGUGGUAGACCACCACGUUGAUAGGCCGGAAGUGUAAGCGUGGCAACACGUUCAGCUGACCGGUACUAAUCGGCCGAGGGCUUGAGUC
rnacentral:rRNA from 1 species